UACAGAGGGGGCAAGCGUUAUUCGGAAUUAUUGGGCGUAAAGGGCUCGUAGGCGGUUUGUCGCGUCGGGAGUGAAAUCCACUGGCUUAACUGGUGGCUUGCUUUCGAUACGGGCAGACUGGAGGUAUGCAGGGGAGAACGGAAUUCCUGGUGUAGCGGUGAAAUGCGCAGAUAUCAGGAGGAACACCAAUAGCGAAGGCAGCUCGCUGGGACGUUACUGACACUGAGGCGCGAAAGCGUGGGGAGCAAACAGG
rnacentral:rRNA from 1 species